rnacentral:snRNA from 1 species
AUAUAUUUUAAGGAAUUUGAAUAAAAUCGUUUAAAUCUGUUCUUAUCAGCUUGAUAUCUGAUACGGUCUCCAUCGGAGACCUUCGAUAUUAACCUGAUUUUUGGAACGGGGCGGGAAAGGGGGCUUGCUCCCUCCCCGCCGCGGGUUGCUCUGGCCUGGCACUUAUUGCCAGAGAUAGCCCACCCCCC